rnacentral:rRNA from 1 species
GGGGCCCGCACAAGCGGAGGAACAUGUGGUUUAAUUCGAUGAUACGCGAGGAACCUUACCUGGGCUUAAAUGUAGAGUGCAUUCUCGAGAAAUCGGGAUUUCCUUCGGGACUCUUUGCAAGGUGCUGCAUGGUUGUCGUCAGCUCGUGCCGUGAGGUGUCGGGUUAAGUCCCAUAACGAGCGCAACCCUUAUCGUUAGUUGCCAGCGGGUCAUGCCGGGAACUCUAACGAAACUGCCGGUGUAAACCGUGAGGAAGGUGGGAUGACGUCAAAUCAGCACGGCCCUUAUGUCCAGGGCUACACACGUGUUACAAUGGCCGGUACAGAGGGCAGCUACCUGGAGACAGGAUGCGAAUCUCCAAAGCCGGUCUCAGUUCGGAUCGGAGUCUGCAACUCGACUCCGUGAAGCUGGAUUCGCUAGUAAUCGCGCAUCAGCCAUGGCGCGGUGAAUACGUUCCCGGGCCUU